rnacentral:rRNA from 1 species
CCUACGGGAGGCAGCAGUGGGGAAUAUUGGGCAAUGGGCGCAAGCCUGACCCAGCAACGCCGCGUGAAGGAAGAAGGCUUUCGGGUUGUAAACUUCUUUUGUCAGGGAAGAGUAGCCGACUGUAUCUAGCGAAUAUGCCACUGCUAACUACGAGCGAGCAGCCGCGGUAAUACGGAGGUGGCACGCGUUUACCGGAUUUACUGGGUGUAAAGGGCGUGUAUCCGGGUUGACAAGGCAGAGGUGAAAUCCUGGGGCUUAAACGGAGAACUGCAUUUGAAACUGGUGAUCUUGAGUCCUGGAGAGGCAGAUGGAAUUCCUGGUGUAGUGGUGAAAUGCGUAGAUAUUAGGAGGAACACCAGUGGCGAAGGCGGUCUGCUGGACAGCAACUGACGGUGAGGCGCGAAAGCGUGGGGAGCAAACAGGAUUAGAUACCCGUGUAGUC